GACGAACGCUGGCGGCGUGCUUAACACAUGCAAGUCGAGCGGAGCGGCGAACGGGUGAGUAACGCGUGAGUAACUGCCCCCCUCUCUGGGAUAACAGUUGGAAACGGCUGCUAAUAACGGAUAGUGGGGGAUGACUCGCGUCCUAUCAGCUUGUGGGUGGGGUAUUGGCCUACCAAGGCGACGACGGGUAGCCGGCCUGAGAGGGCGACCGGCCACAGUGUGCUGGGAUACGGCCCAAACUGAUACGGGAGGCAGGAGUGGGGAAUAGUGCACAAUGGGGGAAACCCUGAUGCAGCAACGCCGCGUGCGGGAGGACGGUCUUCGGGGUGUAAACCGCUUUCAGCCAUGACGCGGUAGUGGCAGAAGAAGCACCGGCUAACUACGUGCCAGCAGCCGCGGUAAUAC
rnacentral:rRNA from 1 species